rnacentral:tRNA from 1 species
GCGGAAAUAGCUCAGUUGGGAGAGCGUUAGAUUAUAAAUCGAAAGGUCCCUGGUUCAAUCCCGGAUUUCGUCA